UGGGGAAUUUUGGACAAUGGGGGAAACCCUGAUCCAGCCAUCCCGCGUGUUCGAUGAAGGCCUUCGGGUUGUAAAGCACUUUUGGCAGGAAAGAAACGUCAUGGGUUAAUACCCCGUGAAACUGACGGUACCUGCAGAAUAAGCACCGGCUAACUACGUGCCAGCAGCCGCGGUAAUACGUAGGGUGCAAGCGUUAAUCGGAAUUACUGGGCGUAAAGCGUGCGCAGGCGGUUCGGAAAGAAAGAUGUGAAAUCCCAGAGCUCAACUUUGGAACUGCAUUUUUAACUACCGGGCUAGAGGGUGUCAGAGGGAGGUGGAAUUCCGCGUGUAGCAGUGAAAUGCGUAGAUAUGCGGAGGAACACCGAUGGCGAAGGCAGCCUCCUGGGAUAACACUGACGCUCAUGCACGAAAGCGUGGGGAGCAAACAGG
rnacentral:rRNA from 1 species